GUACUCACUCCAGCAGCACAUAUACUGAAAUUGGAUGAAUACAGAGAAGAUGAGCAUGGUCCCUGCACAAGGAUGGCAUGCAAAUUCGUGAAACAUUUUAUAGUUUU